UGACAAAUCCAGCAUCAGUUUAAAGAGAUGUUUAAUUAGCAUUCUACAUUACCAUGACAAAUCCAGCAUCAGUUUAAAGAGAUGUUUAAUUAGCAUUCUACAUUACCAUGACAAAUCCAGCAUCAGUUUAAAGAGAUGUUUAAUUAGCAUUCUACAUUACCAUGACAAAUCCAGCAUCAGUUUAAAGAGAUGUUUAAUUAGCAUUCUACAUUACCAUGACAAAUCCAGCAUCAGUUUAAAGAGAUGUUUAAUUAGCAUUCUACAUUACCAUGACAAAUCCAGCAUCAGUUUAAAGAGAUGUUUAAUUAGUAUUCUACAUUACCAUGACAAAUCCAGCAUCAGUUUAAAGAGAUGUUUAAUUAGCAUUCUACAUUACCAUGACAAAUCCAGCAUCAGUUUAAAGAGAUGUUUAAUUAGCAUUCUACAUUACCAUGACAAAUCCAGCAUCAGUUUAAAGAGAUGUUUAAUUAGCAUUCUACAUUACCAUGACAAAUCCAGCAUCAGUUUAAAGAGAUGUUUAAUUAGCAUUCUACAUUACCAUGACAAAUCCAGCAUCAGUUUUAAGAGAUGUUUAAUUAGCAUUCUACAUUACCAUGACAAAUCCAGCAUCAGUUUUAAGAGAUGUUUAAUUAGCAUUCUACAUUACCAUGACAAAUCCAGCAUCAGUUUAAAGAGAUGUUUAAUUAGUAUUCUACAUUACCAUGACAAAUCCAGCAUCAGUUUAAAGAGAUGUUUAAUUAGUAUGGAAAUGAUGGCAUCACAACACCAGGCAGCCAUUGGAGUGACCCAUUAUUUUCUCGUUAAGAGGGUUCAAUAUCUUUCUAUUCAUUUCAAUUUCACAGUAUGAACAACAUGACUGGCAUUGUGGAACUGGGUCUACAUGGAUUUUAAUGUAAUUUAUGUCAAAGUAG